CAUUGUUAUAUGCACUUCAAGAACCCCAACAGACUCUGGAAUUUUUACACUUCUAGACAACUUCAAUGACCGCUGGUUAGGUAGGAAAAGAGGAAAAGUAGGCACAAAAAAAAGGUUGAGGGCUUCCUGAAGACUCAGACAUUGCCUGCUGACAUACCGGCAGCUGAUGUCCCCCUCAGGGGUCAGGAUGUCAACACAUUGUUAGAAGGAAUGUAACUGAGAGCAGAGGAUUCAGAGCUCAGCUCAGAGGAGGAAAAGCAGCCUGAGGCGCCAUCUAGAGCCAAAAGACGGAAGCUGCAACUGGGAUCCAACCACCAAUCUGCUUCAGACAUUUCUUGAAAGCUCACAAAAACAAACUUGAAGUGGAACAGCAGAUUAGAGCUGGUGCUGAAACCCUGUGAUGUUUUCCCGUCUCUGAAGUCGGUCUGUGCCGGAGCGGUCUGCAGGAGCGCACAUCUUCUGUGUUUAAACCCGUUUUUGGGUGGCUCUGCUCCAUGAUGGAACGAGGCGUCGCAGAACAGGAAGAGGCUCGGGUCCUCGCUGCAGACGCAACCAGCCGGCCAAUCGGACGUGAGCAGAAACUCAAAAAACUCCAAAUGGACGUCGCCAUGGAGACGCGGUGAUGUCGGCGGUUUGGGCUAAAAUAAAUACUGUUGGAGCACAAAGUGUGGUGUUUGUGUGUGCAUGAUGGGGGAUGGGUUCUCCACCUGCUCCCACUGAGCUUCUGCCAGGCUGGAGAUCAGCCAACAGCACCGGGCCUGAAACCAAGCCUCCACCAGGCUCACGAGGAGGAGGAGGAGAACAGGAGAGAGGGAAAGCAGAGCAACGACGAGGGAGAGGAAGGUCAGAGGACCAGGGAAGAAAGAACGAAUAAAAAAAUUGAACAGAAAUAUUUGUUUUUUCUCGGGAUGAGCUCAGUUUAACUCCCCGUUCCUUCACGUUUGGACUCAGAAGCUCUCCUCUCUCUGCA